UGACGUGUGGCUGUCGUAAAAACCCUAUUUGUAAACAACCAGACCUUUAACUCGGGGCUGCGUUAUAAACACGGCGCGCUUGGAAGACCACGAUGUCAUCUUCCUUCUGUCAGGAGGAUCCCAGUGAAGCUACAGGAGUUUCAUUAACGUCAACAACUUGGACCGAACGGUUUGUUUUGCUUGAUGAAGAGCAGGAAGGGCAGCCUGGAGAGAAAGAGAAGCCGGGUUGAGCCCACUACCAUCAUCCACGUACCACGAGGAAGAUGAGGGAGAGAAAUGAUCCUACCAUUAAAGAGGUACUUUUAAGUUACAUACCAGAAACACCAUUUUAUAUAAUGUGCUAAAUAUACAUUUUAUUACAUCCCCAAAGUACGCUUGCUGAAAUACAAGUUUAUAUCACACUGAAAGAAUUUUGAUCAAUCAUGCUUCCCUGCUGUGAUUGUUUAACUGGGAAAACAACUUUUUCCACAGGAAGGCAAGUCAAUUUAAGGAAUACAUGUGCAAAGUUUUCCUCUGUUAUGUAUAAUGAUGACCCCCAUCAAACAUAAUGUUAGCAAUAUUUACACCUUUUAAUUUAUACUGAUUAUUUCUGUCUACAUGUGUGAAUUUGCCUUCAUUAGUUUCAGAAAAGAGCGAUGAUGUAUCGGUCAGUGGGCGGCAGCACGAGACUCCGCAAACUAGUCUGUAGGCAAAGCAGACGAAGGCAUCGAGGUUGCGGCCUGCCAUCAUUGUUAUUUUUGCUUAAAGGGCCGAAUAUGUUUCAUGCAGGAAUAUUAGCAUUUCCCUUAUAUCUACCAAAACUGCUUGUUUCCCAGACUGCAGUUUUGUUUUGAUCCGAUGUGGUGUGCAAAUACAACCGUAUCUGCAAUGGGUUGUGGGGCAUUAACAUUUGUAACUCUAAUUUUGUUUUGACAGACUGUGAAAAGAACGUUGAGAACAUCACCACUCUACAGGAAGACACAGUCCAGUAAUGGGUGUAAGAAUUUCAGUAGUGAACGACAGAAACAAACAAUCCAAAUUACCUCCAGAAAGCCCUUGAUGGACGCUUCAGCUGCAUCGUCAGACUGGAAGGACUGAUGCAUUUACUGAGACGGGACGUGAGGGCCUACUCUGCGUGCUCAGAGUUCAAGCCCAGCAGGCUGCAGCGGGCCUGACAUAUUCCGGAACAGCAGCACAGUCUUUGGAUGACUCCUCUGAAGAUGAAAACAUGGCGAGUUCUUCUCAAGAGAAGCAGUACAGGUGUGCCUCAGCUCCACGCUCCCUCCUGCAACCUCCGCUCCUGAUGCUAACCUCAUGUCUCCAUCACACCAAGCAGCAGACCUGGAUUGACAGACCUUUCUCCAGAGCUGCCCCCUCCCUCUGAAACCCCCCUCUCCAAAACACUAUUUGUGUAGUUUUUAAAGUAUUUUUUGCAUGAGAAUUGUUGAUCAUAACAUUUCCAGCAGAUGCCUUAAUGUAAUGUUUGUGCACAAUAAAUUACAUUGAUCAUAACAUAUUGGUAUUUCCUUGCACUUCUACACCA